AGCGAACGCUGGCGGCAGGCUUAACACAUGCAAGUCGAGCGGGCACUUUCGGGUGUCAGCGGCGGACGGGUGAGUAACGCGUGGGAACGUGCCCUCUGGUUCGGAAUAACUCAGGGAAACUUGAGCUAAUACCGGAUACGCCCUCUUGGGGAAAGGCUUGCUGCCGGAGGAUCGGCCCGCGUCUGAUUAGCUAGUUGGUGAGGUAACGGCUCACCAAGGCGAAGAUCAGUAGCUGGUCUGAGAGGAUGAUCAGGCACACGGGGACUGAGACACGGCCCAGACUCCUACGGGAGGCAGCAGUGGGGAAUAUUGGACAAUGGGCGCGAGCCUGAUCCAGCCAUGCCGCGUGAGUGAUGAAGGCCUUAGGGUUGUAAAGCUCUUUUAUCCGGGACGAUAAUGACGGUACCGGAGGAAUAAGCCCCGGCUAACUUCGUG
rnacentral:rRNA from 1 species